GAUGAACGCUGGCGGCGUGCUUAACACAUGUAAGUCGAACGGAAAGGCCCAAGCUUGCUUGGGUACUCGAGUGGCGAACGGGUGAGUAACACGUGGGUGAUCUGCCCUGCACUUCGGGAUAAGCCUGGGAAACUGGGUCUAAUACCGGAUAGGACGAUGGUUUGGAUGCCAUUGUGGAAAGUUUUUUCGGUGUGGGAUGAGCUCGCGGCCUAUCAGCUUGUUGGUGGGGUAAUGGCCUACCAAGGCGUCGACGGGUAGCCGGCCUGAGAGGGUGUACGGCCACAUUGGGACUGAGAUACGGCCCAGGCUCCUACGGGAGGCAGCAGUGGGGAAUAUUGCACAAUGGGCGCAAGCCUGAUGCGGCGACGCCGCGUGGGGGAUGACGGCCUUCGGGUUGUAAACUCCUUUCGCUAGGGACGAAGCGUUUUUGUGACGGUACCUGGAGAAGAAGCACCGGCUAACUACGUG
rnacentral:rRNA from 1 species